rnacentral:rRNA from 1 species
CCUUGAAAUACCACCCUUUAAUGUUUGAUGUUCUAACGUGGACCCGUAAUCCGGGUUGCGGACAGUGUCUGGUGGGUAGUUUGACUGGGGCGGUCUCCUCCUAAAGAGUAACGGAGGAGCACGAAGGUUGGCUAAUCCUGGUCGGACAUCAGGAGGUUAGUGCAAUGGCAUAAGCCAGCUUGACUGCGAGCGUGACGGCGCGAGCAGGUGCGAAAGCAGGUCAUAGUGAUCCGGUGGUUCUGAAUGGAAGGGCCAUCGCUCAACGGAUAAAAGGUACUCCGGGGAUAACAGGCUGAUACCGCCCAAGAGUUCAUAUCGACGGCGGUGUUUGGCACCUCGAUGUCGGCUCAUCACAUCCUGGGGCUGAAGUAGGUCCCAAGGGUAUGGCUGUUCGCCAUUUAAAGUGGUACGCGAGCUGGGUUUAGAACGUCGUGAGACAGUUCGGUCCCUAUCUGCCGUGGGCGCUGGAGAACUGAGGGGGGCUGCUCCUAGUACGAGAGGACCGGAGUGGACGCAUCACUGGUGUUCGGGUUGUCAUGCCAAUGGCACUGCCCGGUAGCUAAAUGCGGAAGAGAUAAGUGCUGAAAGCAUCUAAGCACGAAACUUGCCCCGAGAUGAGUUCUCCCUGAGACUUAGAGUCUCCUGAAGGAACGUUGAAGACGACGACGUUGAUAGGCCGGGUGUGUAAGCGCAGCGAUGCGUUGAGCUAACCGGUACUAAUGAACCGUGAGGCUUAACCUUACAACGCCGAAG